rnacentral:lncRNA from 1 species
CUUUCCCCAAGGGUUCCGCAUUAGCCUAACCAAGACUUUCUCUGAGACUCUUAGUUAUUAUGAUGCUACUUCCACCAGCACCAGGGUUCUUGUUGCUAUCUGGCUGUUGAGUGAUUCAGUCCCACUGAGCAAUGUCAACCUGAUUGUCUUUCUUUGUUUUUAAGAAACAGGGUCUUGCUCUGCUGCCCAGGCUGGAGCACAGUAGUGUGAUCAUAGCUCACUACAGCCUUCAACUCCUGGGCCUUAGCAAUCCUCCUGCCUCAGCCUCCCAAGGAGCUAUGGCUGCAGGUAUCCGCCACCACUCAUUGACAGCCACUUCCAGUACUCACUGUCUUGGACACAGACUUGAGUAAAAGUACAGAAACAGGGCCGGUAGGACCAGAGGCUCCCCCUCCUGGGUCAGAUUAUGCAGUAAGGAGCUUCACAGAAUACGACUGGAAAUCCACAUACCCACUUUUCUGUUUAAUUCAGGAAGCAGUUGCUAAACACAACUAACAGAGCAAAGGGCAAGAGGCCUGGAUGAAGAAAUACCCUCAGAAACUCCCACUCUUCUGGUUCCUGCUGAAGACUCCAGUAAUAAAAGUUAUUCAUACCUACCUCCACCAUCUUGGCUGGGAAGUCAAGGAAGAAGAUAGCAGCCCGCAACCCGGAAGAGGGCCCUCACCAGAACCUACCAUGCUGGCACCCAGACCUCAGACUUCCAGCCUCCAGAAAUACACCAUCUGGCUCUGUCACCCAGGCUGGAGUGCAGUGGCCUGGUCACAGUUCACUGCAGCUUCGACUUCCCUGGCUCAAGUGAUCCUCCCUCCUCACCCUACAGGCAUGCACCACCGUGCCCAGGAGCUCCCUCUGCUGCAGGAACUCAACGAUAGGGAGGAAGAGUCCAGAAAAGUAGGGCUGUCAGCACCUCUGUGAGCAGCCGACGAUCCACAGCGGAUGGAGUUUGGUGGUAAAGGUACUCACUUCCUGUCUCUCUGGUGAUGAUUUUGAGCAUGUUCUACAAAGUCUUUCAGAUGGUCCCAGUAGGUUGGAGCCCAGCUGCCCUCAGUGGUAACCUGCCCAUUAACGUAUCCUGUGUUGGUUUCCUUUCCUCCCCUACCUCACCUCCCCACUCCCCUUUCUAUGAUUCCUAGAGUCACCUCCCAAAUAAACUUUCACAUUUACA